UACGGGGGGGGCAAGCGUUGUCCGGAUUUAUUGGGCGUAAAGAGCGUGUAGGCGGCCUGACAGGUCUGCUGUGAAAACUCGAGGCUCAACCUCGAGAUGUCGGCGGAAACCGUCUGGCUAGAGUCCGGAAGAGGAGAGUGGAAUUCCUGGUGUAGCGGUGAAAUGCGCAGAUAUCAGGAAGAACACCUAUGGCGAAGGCAGCUCUCUGGGACGGUACUGACGCUGAGGCGCGAAAGCUAGGGGAGCAAACGGG
rnacentral:rRNA from 1 species